UCUACGGGAGGCAGCAGUGGGGAAUAUUGGGCAAUGGGCGCAAGCCUGACCCAGCAACGCCGCGUGAAGGAAGAAGGCUUUCGGGUUGUAACCUUCUUUUCUCAGGGACGAAGCAAGUGACGGUACCUGAGGAAUAAGCCACGGCUAACUACGUGCCAGCAGCCGCGGUAAUAGGUAGGUGGCAAGCGGUAUCCGGAUUUACUGGGUGUAAAGGGCGUGUAGGCGGGGACGCAAGUCCGAUGUGAAAACCACGGGCGCAACCUGUGGCCUGCAUUUGAAACUGUGGUUCUUGAGUACUGGAGAGGCAGACGGAAUGCCUAGUGUAGCGGUGAAAUGCGUAGAUAUUAGGAGGAACACCAGUGGCGAAGGCGGUCUGCUGGACAGCAACUGACGCUGAGGCGCGAAAGCGUGGGGAGCAAACAGGAUUAGAUACCCUGGUAGUC
rnacentral:rRNA from 1 species